UAUAUUAUAGGUUUGGCCUUUUAUUUUUUUGGGUUUCAUAGUAAUAGGCUCAAUUCAUAAGCUCAUAGAGUGGGGAUAAAGUUAGUGCACGGGAUUAGUAGUUAAAUGUUUGAAUUAGAUUAGAAUACUUAAUAUCUAGAUAGAGUUCUGUUUUGAGUUUAUUUACUUUAUUGUGUGUAUGAGAGUGAUUAG